GCACCUGUAGCUCACUUGGAUAGAGUGUUGGCCUCCGAAGCCGAAGGUAGCUGGUUCGAAUCCAGCCAGGUGCGCCA
rnacentral:tRNA from 1 species